GGGGUUAUAGUUUAAUUAUAGAACAUCCCGUUUACACCGGGAAGGUUGUUAACCCUU
rnacentral:tRNA from 1 species